AAUAAAACACACACCUUUAGUAUAAAAAAUAACCAGCACUGGCAGGGUGAGCCGAUGUUGGUAGAUGUCCUUGGCGGUUAAAUAUGACCCCCUUUCCGACGGAUCGCUGCCGCCUUUGGAUGUAGACAGCCAGCUGAGAGAAGCUGCAGGGUUACCGGGUGAUCUGUAUCCGUCUCUGUAAGCAUGUGCAGCGGCUGCCUGUCCAGCCUCCUCCCGCUCCCUUCGCACUGCCUCCUGCUUUAACACACAGAUCUGCUCUCUUACUUCCAACGGGGGCGACGGAUCCAGCCAAUAAACACAGUCUUCCCAAAACACACAGGUUUUCUCUCUCUAUUUAGAUCCCCUAUAAUAAGCAAAUGAUAAGGCUAUUCAUCACCAGGUGGAGGUUUCUGUGCUUCCACUUCUAUGCAAGAUGCACCUUCCUUGUGCCUGUUCCUGUUUCCUAAACUGACACUUCAGCAGAUCCCCUUGGCAUUGCUUGCUGCUCCUGCCAUGCUCCCUUCCCCUUUAUGCAAUGUACAGUAAAGUUUGCUGAGAUGGUGUUACAGACACCAAACUGUGUAUAGAUGUGAGUGUGGAGUCUGCAUGUGUG